rnacentral:misc_RNA from 1 species
GGAAGUAAAAGUCAACAAGGUUUCCGUAGGUGAACCUGCGGAAGGAUCAUUAUUGUAUAACCGAGGUGCGAGGGCUGUCGCUGACCCGAAAGGUCGUGCACGCCCGAGUGCCCUCACACACAUCCAUCUCACCCCUAUGUGCACCACCGCGUGGGUCCCCCUUUGGCUUGUUCGGAGGGGGGCUUACGUUUUCACACAAACUUUGUAUGCAGUGUAGAAUGUAUUUUUUGUUUUUGCGAUCACGCAAUCAAUACAACUUUCAACAGCGGAUCUCUUGGCUCUC